rnacentral:rRNA from 1 species
GACGAACGCUGGCGGCGUGCUUAACACAUGCAAGUCGAACGGAAAGGCCCUGCUUUUGUGGGGUGCUCGAGUGGCGAACGGGUGAGUAACACGUGAGUAACCUGCCCUUGACUUUGGGGAUAACUUCAGGAAAACUGGGGCUAAUACCGGAUAGGAGCUCCUGCUGCAUGGUGGGGUUGGAAAGUUUCGGCGGUUGGGGAUGGACUCGCGGCUUAUCAGCUUGUUGGUGGGGUAGUGGCUUACCAAGGCUUUGACGGGUAGCCGGCCUGAGAGGGUGACCGGCCACAUUGGGACUGAGAUACGGCCCAGACUCCUACGGGAGGCAGCAGUGGGGAAUAUUGCACAAUGGGCGGAAGCCUGAUGCAGCAACGCCGCGUGCGGGAUGACGGCCUUCGGGUUGUAAACCGCCUUCGCCUGUGACGAAGCGUGAGUGACGGUAAUGGGUAAAGAAGCACCGGCUAACUACGUG